rnacentral:rRNA from 1 species
CCUCAAAUCAGGUAGGACUACCCGCUGAACUUAAGCAUAUCAAUAAGCGGAGGAAAAGAAACUAACAAGGAUUCCCCUAGUAACUGCGAGUGAAGCGGGAAAAGCUCAAAUUUAAAAUCUGGUGGUCUCCGGCCAUCCGAGUUGUAAUCUAGAGAAGUGUUACCCGCGUCGGACCGUGUACAAGUCUCCUGGAAUGGAGCGUCAUAGAGGGUGAGAAUCCCGUCUUUGACACGGACCCCCGAGGCUUUGUGGUGCGCUCUCAAAGAGUCGAGUUGUUUGGGAAUGCAGCUCAAAAUGGGUGGUAAAUUCCAUCUAAAGCUAAAUAUUGGCGAGAGACCGAUAGCGAACAAGUACCGUGAGGGAAAGAUGAAAAGAACUUUGGAAAGAGAGUUAAACAGUACGUGAAAUUGCUGAAAGGGAAACGCUUGAGGUCAGUCGCGUCGGCCGGAAAUCAGCCUUGCUCUUGCUUGGUGUACUUUCUGGUUGACGGGCCAGCAUCAGUUUUGACCGGUGGAUAAAGUUGUGAGGAAUGUGGCAUCUUCGGGUGUGUUAUAGCCUCGCUUCGUAUACAUCGGUUGGGACUGAGGAACUCAGCACGCCGAAAGGCCGGGGUUCGCCCACGUUCGUGCUUAGGAUGUUGGCAUAAU